AAUCAACGCUGGCGGCGUGCCUCAGACAUGCAAGUCGAACGCGAAAGUCCCCCUUCGGGGGACAAGUAGAGUGGCGCACGGGUGAGUAACACGUAGGUAAUCUAACCUUUGGAUGGGGAAUAACAACCGGAAACGGUUGCUAAUACCGCAUAAUGCAGCGGCACCUAAUGGUGACAGUUGUUAAAGCGGGGGAUCGAAAGACCUCGCGUCUAAAGAGGAGCCUGCGGCGGAUUAGCUAGUUGGAAGGUAAUGGCUUACCAAGGCUACGAUCCGUAACCGGCCUGAGAGGGCGGUCGGUCACACUGACACUGACAUACGGGUCAGACUCCUACGGGAGGCAGCAGUCGGGAAUUUUGGGCAAUGGGCGAAAGCCUGACCCAGCAACGCCGCGUGAAGGAUGAAAUCCCU
rnacentral:rRNA from 1 species